UAAUGUGCAUGCAGCAGGAGUGGCGAUAAAAAAUUGAUCAGUCUCAUUUACAAAUGCAGGUUACUAAGUUGGAAGUCCUGCCACCCAACAGGCUGCAAGGUUACUAAGUUGGAAGUCCUGCUCGAAGAAACAAUCUUUUCGGCAAUCAGAAGACAUUAGGUCAAGGACGAUCUUGAUGGACAUGCUGAAGAAACAUGCCUGCCUCUCCACCAGGAGAACCUAUUGAUAUCUUCAGUUCGAAUGCAGGGAGGUAAAUAUAUUAGUUUUCCUUUUUACACCACAACUAUUUGCUUCAGAAUCACCCUCUAUAUACUCACUCAAUUACCAGUGCUUAAUUCUUCUUUCUUGAAUCGAUUAUUUAGAACUCAUGUCAGUAUAUUCUGAGCUUUCUGGGUGUGUUCAUAUAGUUACUUCUGGUUAAAUAGUUGAUCUCUUGAUACCUUAAUCUGAAUGGCAAGGGUUGGUGUUACUCCCAUGUGUUUUUUGUGAAACUACAAUAUUGUUCAAAUAAAAAUAUAUGAGGCUCAGGCUGUUUAUGCACCACAUUCUGCUUCCUUUGUACCUUCAAAUUUAGAUAUGUCAGUAACUUUAUGCAUGAUAUGCAUUCCACCUUGGCCAAACAUGUCGCAACUUAUCUAUUUCAGGAUAUAUAUCUUCGGUGUUAACUACGCAUUUUCCAGUAUUUUUGUAUUUGUAUGAAUCCUGAUAUGCCAUAUUGUAGUGUCUAGAUUGGAUUGUGCAGUUCAAGAUUGAUGUUUUUUUGGCUUUCAACUACCAUCCUCAAAACCUUUAGGGGUGUAGCCAUAUGAGACCGAGUUUGCCAAAGGUGAGCAGUUCUCUGGCUGCUAUGGGUUAGAUGAAGAUGACACAAUCAAUUGGAACCCGACUCCCAACUGAUGUUUGUUUGUGUUUGUUGUUUCGUGUUAGGCUACUUGUAAGAAAUAAUUAGCAGCUCUAUUGUGAACACGACUGGGACCCUCUAUGUACUUAGCUGCUGUUACCUUAGGAUGGUAUAUUUGUACCUGAUGUAAUAUAUUUCCUGUUUUUGCCACUUGUGUGUAGCAUGUGCAUUCAACAAACAGAGAAUUGUAAAUUUCUGGUUAA